CCACCUAAAACAAUCAAGAUAGCGCUGGUCAGACCACCAAUUUGAAUAUGACUGUCAGAGCUGACUGCUGUUUCUGCAUAUAGUCCCCCCCUCCACUUCUGUCUAUAAAAGCUCUUGCCCCACUGGUUGCCAGUGGGAGGAAGUCAGCCUUUGGACUGAUGUCUGCUCCCCCCAUCCCCAGUUGCCAGCAUCUGAAACAAAGCAAGCUUUCCUUUCCACCAACCUGGGCUGUUCAUUGGCUUUUGAAUGGCGAGCAGCCGGACCCCACAUACACCUUUCAGUAACAGAUCUGUCGCCCAGCGUGGGGCUGACUACUGCUGGCUCCUGUGCUUUCAUGGUUCUCCUGAGUUUUCCAGGGGAGAGCUGUGGCCAUAACAGUAUGUGCUUGUGGCUACUUAGCCACAAGUAGAGGAUUUGGAUGACGCUCCUAGAAUCUGCCAAAAUUAUUUGUUUCAAGGAUUCUCCCUGUUUCUCCCCUGCUCAGCACUGGCUGCCAACUUAAUGCUUUUUCUUGAUGGAAUGGAAACUUGCACUUGGGAUAAGCUGAUGAGCUCCGAGACCGGGAUGGAAGAGGAAGUGGCUCAUGAGAAAGACAUUUCACAACAGACCAGAACUGGCUUGGAGGGAAACUUAUAGAGCCAAAAACUAAAUAAGGUAUCAAUGAGAUUGAUCCUACCCUUGGAGAGCAGUGAAUUCCUGGGCUUGCCCAUGUGCCAUAUCCAAAUGACUGCAGCCAGACAAGCGAUUCCUGUGUGCUCGGAAGAGGAACCUCAUCUUAGAAGGAUUGACAUACUUUGAAAAAAUGGCCUUUAGAAGCAAAGCGAAGCUACAGUCAAUUGUGUGAGACAUGGUCUGCAGGAAGAAAAGCUGAUGUGAGGCUGACCUCUAUAGACUGCAUCAAGUUUAACCCUUCCUCACCAUCUGAGAACUGGUCCAGCCAUGGAAGGUCCUGUCAGAAGACAGUGAGGGUAAGAAGAUCAGCUUUGGGCUGGGAAUUGCCCCGGACUUUCGCCUGCUGACCCUGCAUCCCUCCUUUGAAGACUACUGUUUGUUUCCUUUCGCUUCAGUUCCCUCUGACUUGCAUCCUCUCUCUUUCCCCAGUAACCCCUCAAAUCCAGUAACCUCCUUGCACCUGCUGAUUUUAGCAUGGUUACUUAGCCUGAGUUUCCCUAAAUGAAGAGACUGUGGAGAAGACUUGAGUGCACACAGUUUAUUUGGAAACUUUUCUCAGAGCACAGGAAUGAGAGGCAGGGGAAUUGAAGAGGAAGUAAAAGCCCUAACAUGGAUGAGUUAUUGAACUGGCCAUGGCUCUCAUUAAGUGGCACUCAAUCCUUCAGUCCUCUGAGAAAUCUUCUGGGAUGCAUUGCAAAACAGCCUGCUGGGAAAGAUAUAGGGGCCUGGGCAUCCAGCUACCCAACUAAUUGUUGAGCUGGAGCAAAAGAAGGAGCCUCCUGGAGCCUCAGUCUUCUUCCCAGGAGCUGGGGAGAAAUGCCUCCUCAGGGCAUGAUUGUGAGGCUUGAACAAAUAACAGCUUAUAGUCUCUAUGCAAAGUGGCAGGUUUCAGUAAAAGUGAGUGAAUCCCUCUCAGAGCUAUUGCUCUAUUAGGUUCCAUUUUAAGUCCCAUUUUCUGUAAUCCCUUUGACCAUACUUAUUUACAUAUUUAAUUUUUUUUUUAUCUGUCUCAUCUCCCUGACUUUAUUGUAAAUUCAAAGCCAAAUUUUACUGUCAGCAUUGUUUUUAAAAAAGUUAAUGAUCUUUAUUAAGCCAUCCUGUGUGUCAGAUAAGAUCCUGAAGCUUACAUCGUCCCAACAGUGACCGAAUGAGAUAGGCUAUUAACCCCAUUUUAGGAACUAUGAAGCAAAGCUUACUUCAGACAACUAGUGAGGGGUGGGACCACAAUUCACAAGGAAGUCUGCCUCAAUUCUAGCUUUUACCCUCGUAAACACAGCGCCUCCCUCCCACUGCCAGGCAUACAGUAGGAACUCCAUAGUCAUCUUUGAAAAUUAUAAGUAGAUCUGAUCUAUGAGAUACCAUGCAACACAUAAAUAUGCCUGUUAAAGAUAGAACUUACUUGAAAAAGACUUGUAUCAAAAUCAAAUAAAAUGUAUAUCAUGAUUA